UACGUAGGUGGCAAGCGUUGUCCGGAUUUAUUGGGUUUAAAGGGUGCGUAGGCGGCUUUGUAAGUCAGUGGUGAAAUAUGGCAGCUCAACUGUCAAGGUGCCAUUGAUACUGCGGAGCUUGAGUACAGAUGAGGUAGGCGGAAUUGACGGUGUAGCGGUGAAAUGCUUAGAUAUCGUCAAGAACACCUAUAGCGAAGGCAGCUUACUAGGCUGUAACUGACGCUGAGGCACGAAAGCGUGGGGAGCAAACAGG
rnacentral:rRNA from 1 species